rnacentral:rRNA from 1 species
GACCAUGGAAACAUGGUCCUCCCGUAAGGGACAUCAGUACAGGUGGUGCAUGGCUGUCGUCAGCUCGUGUCGCGAGAUGUUGGGUUAAGUCCCGCAACGAGCGCAACCCUUAUUCUUAGUUGUUUUCCCUUUGGGAUUACCCUCUAAGAAGACUGCCUCGGAUAACGGGGAGGAAGGUGGGGAUGACGUCAAGUCCGCAUGCUCCUUACGUCUAGGGCUACACACGUCCUACAAUGGGGUCGACAAUGGGAUGCAAUAUCGCAAGAUGGAGCCAAUCCCCAAACGGCCUCUCAGUUCGGAUUGUAGUCUGCAACUCGACUACAUGAAGUUGGAAUCGCUAGUAAUGGCAGAUCAGCAUGCUGCCGUGAAUACGUUCCCGGGUCUU